rnacentral:rRNA from 1 species
UACGGAGGGUGCAAGCGUUGCUCGGAAUUAUUGGGCGUAAAGGGCAGGUAGGUGGUCUCAUUUGUCUGGGGUGAAAGCCUUGAGCUUAACUCAAGAAGUGCCCCAGAAACGGUGAGACUAGAGUCUUGGAGAGGGUCGUGGAAUUCCCGGUGUAGCGGUGAAAUGCGUAGAGAUCGGGAGGAACACCAGAGGCGAAAGCGGCGACCUGGACAAGUACUGACACUCAACUACGAAAGCGUGGGGAGCAAACAGG